GCCGGGCGUGGUGGCUCACGCCUGUAAUCCCAGAACUUUGGGAGGCCGAGGCAGGCGGAUCACCUGAGGUCAGGAGUUUGAGACUAGCCUGACAAACACGGUGAAACCCUGUCUCUA
rnacentral:SRP_RNA from 1 species